UCAAUUCCGUAGUGCAUUGCAGUGUGUUUCAUUAUUUACUGCAAGCGCUGCGGAUUUGGCA
rnacentral:pre_miRNA from 1 species